rnacentral:lncRNA from 1 species
UGGAGAUCCUCUGUGAGCAUCUUAAGGUGUGGUUUUGGGUGUUAUUUCCCAGUAGACUCAGGAUCUCUGAGGGCAGUAUCUGGGGGCGAUUCUAAAAGCUGCUCACAGUACUCCUCUGCACACCAAGAGUUGUUAGGCAGCCAGCCCCCCCUCCUCCCUCCCUCUCACGUCUAUGUAAGUCCUCCCACUGCCGGACUCACCUUUUCCUUCUCUCUGGAGUAAGCAGUGGGGUCGGUGGGAAUAUAGACAAGCUGCUGCCCACCAACAACUUCUGAGUUCCUUUCUUCAUUCAUUCUCACUUUGAGACAGCGUGAGCAAAUGAUUUAGCCAUCGGCACACCCCCUCAGGAAUUCAUUUUUAGAGGGGACAUGAGCAGGUGAACACAAAUGAUCAUACAGUGGGAGGAAACCACCAUAUGGGCUCGUGCCACUCCAGGAGAGCCUCAAGUACUGAGAAGCAAUAGGAAAGUCCUUGUGUCCAGAGCAGCAACUCAGAGAAAGGAAGCUUUGCAGAGCUAAUGGGAGAGGCAGAGGGACCCAUUUCAUAGCUGAGAAUACAGAGGAAUUGAAAUCAAUCGUUUGCUUGUGCGGUAGCACAGGGAAUCAGGCUAGAGGUAAACCUUCUCAUCUGUAGAACAUGGGCAAUGGUUCUGCUGCCCAGCUGGGUGGCUCUGUUCAGCUCUGUAGCCGUGCUGAACAGAUACGUAUCACCAUUUUGCUGUUGUGGAGCCUGAAGAUCGAAUGGGGUGUACAAAUGUGUAUACACGCCCCUCUGAAACUGUGAGAGGUACAUUGAGCCCUCUAGUGCUUCCAGAGUUUCCAGAAUGCAAAUGCCUACCCCACCAUAAGAAGCAGAGAGAAGCCAGGAAGAGUGUGACUGCAGGGAGCUGAACUCAAAGAAAGAUUCUCAUCAUUACUGAAAGAAAUGGCUUCGAGAAGGGCAAGAGGAAAACAGCAGAGCGAGGAGGCUGAGCGGAGUUGCUGCCAGGAGAGCGUCCAAAGUGAUGGCAGCUGACGCGAGAGCUGUAUUUCAGGAUCUUUCACCCACUUGCACAUUUGUCACUUGGAGAUGCUAACAAAGGCCCACAGUGGAGAUCUGCUGUCUUGCCAUUGAGCCUCUCUAUGAGGGCAUGGCAAUUAAACAAAGAAGCCAGAAGCAUGAGAAACCAAACAACAGGAGGCUGACUGUAUGGUGGAGGUCAGUGCACAUUAGUGAACUCAGUUGAUGCCAUUCCAGAACAUUCUCAUUUUCCUCUUGGCAUAGAGCUUACUCUGAGGAUCCCCAUUAUCUGGGACAGCAGCAACCAUCAGUAUCUGCCCUGCUUGGCCUCUACUGUCAGGGACCUGUUCUGUUCAAGUAAUGAUGAUAAACUCACUCAACAAGUUCCAGAGGCUGUAAAUAAUGGACCCAGUGGCCCUUCUUCAGAUGACAGUGAACCGAAGCAGCACUUUCGAGUCUCCUUUACAAGAAACAAGGGGUGUCACAGGAUGACUGAUGAAGAUAAUUUGGACCAAUGACCAAAGGUCACUAUGCUAUUAUCUAGCAGUGCCAGCCUCAAUGUCUGUCUUAAAGCCAUGCUAAACAGUACAUCAGACCAGACUUAGAAGGUUUUCUCAGCGUGGCUUGUCCAUUCAAAGCUUCCCACAGAAAGAGCCUUAAUGGACAGAUUCUUCUGGUAUCACAGGAGCCUGGAAGAGACCAUAGAAACCAACCCUUCAAUACCUGUUUCUCUAGCAAUCAAGGCAAAGAUGCUGUCUGCUUAGCAGAUGAGGGUCCUGCAUGGCAGAAUUGCCUGUGGUAUCUCCUUUGCUGUGCCCAAGCUCAGAAGCAAAAUGGCUUUGAGAUUAUAGGCAUCUGUUACAAUGUUCAACCAAUGUGGAUUAUUUUUCUCUUGAUUUUUUUUUUUUUUUUGAUAGAAGAGAUCCAAUCAUUUUGGUCUGCUUUGCAGGGAGUGAGAGGAAGGAUCAGGAGGGUGUUUUCAGAGUGUUCUGUGAUUCUUGAGUUGUAAAUACAGUUUAUGCAACAUCACUAACCUGAUAUGAAGGUGGAAGAUUCAUCCAGCUUGACGGAAAUGGGGAAAAGGAGACAGGCAGGAUGAUGACCACCCAAGCAGCCUUCUCCACCCUCCCCCAGUGAAAUCCUGAUGAGAGACCUGGAUGGAUGUCAUAUUAAAUCUGGCAAUGUUUAGGCUUCUCUUGUCACCGUUCUCAAGUGAAAACAGUACAUGAUAUCACUGGAUCAAGCUGGUUACUCCCUGCCUGUAAUGGAGCAUGACAGCCAAGUUCCACCUGUGCCUUUUUUCACCAUGAUGUUUGGCCAGUGGCCGAAGCUGCUUGGCUACUUGGCUGUAUAAGAAGGAAACUAAACUGUAACUGAGAUGAUUAAUCUGAUUCUAUACUCACAACAGGCAGACCUUUGAAGGGCUUUGGGACACAAAGAGUAGAGACUGUAAUGGUUGGUAGCACUUUUUUUUUAGGCUCUGAAGAAGAAAUUAACCAAUGAACUUGGGUCCAUUGAUCUGGCAUUAUUAGUAUUUGGAAAAUAAAAUGGUAGCUCUAUCUGCAUUGGCCAUCAAGUCGCAUGGCCACAGUUUAUUACUGGGCUGUUCAUUACUCAUCAUACUCUCCUUUCCAGAGAAGAUCCCUCGAACAUAGAUGCUCCAUAUAAUACGUUCACACUGAUUCACAAAAAGUGAGCAGCCAUUCACUUUUGCACGUGAAACCACUCCAAGAGGAAGCAGGGCACCAUCAUCCCCAUUGGCUGACAGGGAAACUGAGGAUGAAAACAUUAGGCAGUUGGCCUAUUCCAUACAGCAAAUGAAUGGCUGCCCCAGUCCUUGAAUCCAUACCAGCUAACAGAGUACAUGCUUACCGGUAUCCUGCUAGCUGCUGGCUUCCGGCCUUCAGCCCAGCGCUCUUACUUCCAUGACAUAGACUUUUCUCUGGCCUCAACAUCAGUGUCAUCUUGAGUAACCAUGGCUUUGUCCUGUAACUCUGUGAGCUUGACACUCAAACUCAUCAGUUCUGUCCACAAACCCAUGCAAGAGCUGUUGGCAAACUUAUACAAAUCUUAAAAUACAUUUUUUUUCUGAGCCUUCACAAUUAGUGCCUCUAUUCCAGGUGGUAAAAAAACAAAACAAAAACCAGCAAAACAAACAAACAAACAAACAAACAAACAAAAAAAACCCAACAACAUCAACCAAAAAAACCCUCAUCGGGGCAUACUGAAACACUAUAAUGUGUCAUCUAGAAAUACCCUAUUCAGGGCACACAGAAACACUAUAAUGUGUCAUCUAGAAAGCAAAAGUGUACAUGGAAUAUGUUUUGUGAUUCUUCUCUCAGCAUGGAGAUACAAGUGUAAAAGAGAAUUAAUUUGUGUCAAGUAUAAACUCUGUCAUUAAACUAAAGGUUAUCAGUGAAUAUAAUGGCCACAUAUUAUUACAUCUACUUCCUGUUGAUAUAUUAGUCUCCAAGUGCUUUUAUGUAGUAAUUAAUUUUUAUUUCAUUUUAUCCUUUUUUUUUUCUUUGUUGAGCUAGGAUCUCAUAGCCCUAGCCCUGGAACUCACUAUGUGGUCUAGGUGGCUUUAUACUCAUAGUGACCCUACUUCAGCCUCUCAUGUGUUGGGGUUACAAAUGUGAGCUAUCAUGCCUCAUUAAUAGCUAUAUUUAACACAAUUAAAAACAUGUGUGGUUUUUAAAAACCAAUAUGGCCUUUAAUUCUUACUAUAGUUGAGAUCUGAAGUGUUUCCCCCCAAGGCCAGCGAGUGUGCAGCCCAGACUUCAUGGAGAUGUUCUCAGGCGGUAUUGAAAUUGCAGAUGUAUGACCAGGAAGUGGUCUUCAGGCCACUUCAGUCAUGUGCUUACAGGAAACCAUGAAACCAUAGCCUUUACCCUCUUCUUUCAGUUCUUUUCCAUGAGGUAGGAGGUCCUGUUCUGCCACGGGUUUUCCUCCAAUUAACACUUGGCAGCCACCCUGAGACUUCAAGGUGCUGAUGCAGUUGAUCGUGGACUGGAGCCCUGAAAGCUAUGAGCCAAAACAGGGAAAUCCGACUAACAUGUCCUCUUCCGCAUCCUAGAAAUGCUCCUGAUGGUAAAGAAAGAUAAAGACAGGCCUUACCAACUUAUAUAAAACACGGGCCUCGCCUGGAUAAUCAAACCCCAAGCAAAAAUGAGGGGCUUCACACGGAAGGGAGUUUCCACAUACAUCCUUAUUCCCCACCCCCCUCUCUGAAGACUCUCACAUACCCUCUUCCCUCUGAUAGUUAAGACUAGCAGCACACGAUAUUUACCAGGGGAACUAUUAAUUGUACUAGAGCAUAUCAUGAAUUAGAGAAAAUGAGGAUAUACACUGCAAUUAUUGAUGAGAAAGACUGCAAAAUUAAAUAUUUAUUAGAAUUAUUCUAUAAGUUCAAGGCAGCAUUAAGUAAAAGCCAGCAUGGGUGGUAAAUUUCCGCUGAACUUUCAGCAAAGUCAUCCUAAACAUUGAACGCACAAUAACAUUUAAGGCCAACAUGGUGGUUUAAAUGAAUGUUCCCCAUAGGCUCUGGUAUUUGAAUAACUGGUCCCCAGGCUAUGGUGCUACUUGGGUGGGUUCAGGAGGUAUGGUCUCACCGGAGGAAAUACAUCAGUAGGUGUUGUCUUUGAGGUUUCAAAGCCUUGCACCAUUCCAAGUUGACUCUAUCUCUGACUCUUGCUUGCUUGUGCUUCACGAUGUGAGAUCUUAGCUGUUUCUCCUGUCGUGCCUGCUCUCUGCUGCCAUGAUGCUGUUUCAUGACAAACUCCCACUUCUCUGCCACUGUAAUCCAAAUAAGCCCUUCCUUCUGAAAGCUGCUGUAGCCAUGGGAUUUGAUCACAGCAACAGCAAAGUAACUACCGCUGCAAAAUUGAGGACAAAGAAAAGGGUUUGCCAUCCUGGUUAAGGAGAUUUACCUGAAGACUUCAGUAACCCAAAACUGUGAGGUGGUGGUUCAGACCCAUGAACAAAUAAAACACACCUAACAGAAGCAAAGGUCAGAGAAAUGGCAUCGUACACAGAAAUGAAGGAAGUAGAUGUAGUGCCAAUUCAGGUGGUGAUGGUAUUCCAAAUGCUGGCUUUCAGUAUACACAAAAGGCAAGCACGGGUCUUCAUGCUAUUAUAAAAACAACCCCAGCAGUGUGCAAGAACUAGGUAUAAAGGUAAAGACACGGAAUACAAGGUAGAAUAGAACGUUUUUAAAAUCACUGUGAUUUGGGUGAGAAAGUAUUUUUUUAUGUAAAACCCCAAAGCACAAGCCAGACAGUAAAACCCGAUUUUGACAAAAUCAGAAUUAAAGACCCCUGUUCAAUGAGACUCCUGUAAAAUAGAGUAGCAUAUGGUUGGCAGAUUAGAACGUAUUUGCACCUGUGAAAACCAACAGAGGGCUGAUUUA